rnacentral:rRNA from 1 species
UACGUAGGGUGCGAGCGUUGUCCGGAAUUAUGGUGCGUAAAGAGCUCGUAGGUGGUUUGUCGCGUUCGCCGUGAAAACUCGCAGCUCAACUGCGAGCCUGCGGUCGAUACGGGCAGGCUAGAGUUCGGUAGGGGAGACUGGAAUUCCUGGUGUAGCGGUGAAAUGCGCAGAUAUCAGGAGGAACACCGAUGGCGAAGGCAGGUCUCUGGGCCGAUACUGACGCUGAGGAGCGAAAGCGUGGGGAGCGAACAGG